GACAGAGGCCCCGAGCGUUGUCCGGAAUCACUGGGCGUAAAGGGCGCGUAGGUGGCGAGCCAAGUCCAUGGUGAAAGCUCGAUGCUCAACAUCGAGUCGGCCACGGAUACUGGUGCGCUUGAGCACUGUAGAGGCUAAUGGAAUUCCGGGUGUAGCGGUGGAAUGCGUAGAGAUCCGGAAGAACACCGGUGGCGAAGGCGGUUAGCUGGGCAGUUGCUGACACUGAGGCGCGACAGCGUGGGGAGCAAACAGG
rnacentral:rRNA from 1 species